AUUUCUAAUUCAACAUUUUAGGUUGGUCAAGAGAUUGAAGUACGUCCAGGCAUUGUUUCCAAAGAUGAGAAAGGAAAACUGCGUUGGGAACCAAUCUGUUCUGUGAUUGUUUCGUUGUUCGCCGAACAAAAUGAUCUUCAGUACGCCGUACCUGGUGGACUAAUUGGUGUUGGAACGAAAAUUGACCCAACUCUCUGCAGAGCUGACAGAAUGGUUGGCCAUGUUUUGGGAGCAGCUGAUGCGUUGCCAGAAAUCUACACAGAACUGGAAAUCAGUUAUUUCUUGUUGAGGAGGUUGCUGGGUGUUCGAACAGAGGGUGACAAAAAAGCUGCCAAGGUAGAGUAAACAUACAAUAU